AAAGUAGUUUUACUGUUCAAAAAAGUAUGGAAUCAUCGCAAAAGAAAAAUAAAUUUAGUAUCUCCUUGUUUGUGGUAGACUGUUCAAGACACCAUCAACGUUGGAACAGAAACUGCAGCUGCACUCAAGGAUCAGACUGAACAAAUGAGUCAGGCUGUUAAGUGUUAAUGAGCUGGACUAUCCAUUUCUCGAUCAAGAAAGCUUCUCAACUUGUGAAGGAACUUGGUAGGCAGGUUGCAACUGAUAGGUGUAUUAUGGCAUUACUCUUCCUAAUUAUUGCCAUUGGAGUCAUAGCUAUCAUUAUUGUAAAGAUUGGGUUUAAUAAGAAUUUUAUCUUUUAGGAGGGACAAUCAUGGCACGGGGAUUGAGGUCCCUAUUGAGGUGGAAAAAAGGAUGCAUAUUUAUUACAUUCGGAACAGAGGGUUUGGUAACAGAUUUAAUGUGUUGGGUGAUGACAAUCAUGGCACUCCGAAUGACUUAACGCAAUGACCCAGAAAUCAAGAAGGCAUGUGACUCAUACAGUGAUCAUUUUGGACAGUUCUUCAAACUGAUAUUCUAUGGCAUCCAAAAGGUAUCAUGAUUAUGCAUGAACAGCAAAACAGUCUCUUAUUAAUUUGUCGUUGAACUUGGGAUUAUUACUACAAAUGUUCAACUUGAGUCAAAGGGAUGUCCUAAUUAUUGCAUUGGAGAUCUUAAACCGAAAUCUCAAAUUGUAUUUAGGAGCAGUACUAGUAGAAGUUGGCUGUACAAAGUCAAAGCUUGUGUGCUUGCAUUUAUAGUGACUUGAUGUGAAGAGUGUGGAAGGAAGAAAAGAAGAAAAAUGUGUGAAAUAAAAGGAAAGGCCAUUCGGCCAUGGGUCUCCAGUUUCUACAUGACCACAUUCAUUUUUUUCUAAA